UACGUAGGGGGCAAGCGUUGUCCGGAUUUAUUGGGCGUAAAGAGCGUGUAGGCGGCCAUACAGGUCCGUUGUGAAAACUGGAGGCUUAACCUCCAGACGUCGAUGGAAACCGUAUGGCUAGAGUCCGGAAGAGGAGAGUGGAAUUCCUGGUGUAGCGGUGAAAUGCGCAGAUAUCGGGAGGAACACCAGUAGCGAAGGCGGCUCGCUGGGCCACACCUGACGCUGAGACGCGAAAGCUAGGGGAGCGAACAGG
rnacentral:rRNA from 1 species